rnacentral:rRNA from 1 species
GAUGAACGCUGGCGGCGUGCCUAACACAUGCAAGUCGUACGAGCUCGAUCUUCGGAACGGGUUAGUGGCGCACGGGUGAGUAACACGUAGGUGACCUACCCCAGAGUGGGGGAUAACUUCUCGAAAGAGAGGCUAAUACCGCAUACACUCGGUCAUUCAUUUGGCCGAGCAAAGCUCCGGCGCUUUGGGACGGGCCUGCGUCCGAUUAGCUAGUUGGUAGGGUAAUGGCUUACCAAGGCUUUGAUCGGUAGCUGGUCUGAGAGGACGAUCAGCCACACUGGCACUGACACACGGGCCAGACUCCUACGGGAGGCAGCAGUGAGGAAUAUUGGGCAAUGGGCGAAAGCCUGACCCAGCAACGCCGCGUGACGGGAUGAAGGCCUUCGGGUUGUAAACCUCUUUCUGGGAGAAGAGACAAGGACGGUAUCCCAGGAAUAAGUCUCGGCUAACUACGUGCCAGCAGCCGCGGUAAU